GAUGUGGUGUGGAUAAAGGAGAGGCAGGAGAGAUACUUUGAGAGAAGUGGAAUAAAUAGCAUUUCCCUGUGCCAGGGAAUAGUUGCUUUUUUGUUGUUUUAAUUGCUAAUUAAACUACGAGGAGGAUCAAAUUAAAUGUUUACAUUUUCUUGAAUGCAAGAUCUAUGGCAAGAGGUACAGCUGGGAGUGAGUUCAUGUCCAGCCCAGUUGUAGACACUGUCUUUUAAAAAGCCAUGCUUGCUUGAAUUCUCUUCAGUGAAUGAUCUAGUGAGCAUUAAAGCUCUCUGAACAGGGGAAGCUAUUGAGCCAUCUGGUGGCUGUCUCUGGGAUGUUUCCAUCAGGGCUUACUCACCACCCGAGGUAAACUUCUGGGAGAUGAAGGAGCAACAGAUGAAGAUCUGGGAAAAGAUUCUGCUCAAACUCAAACCCCAAUGAUUCAACUGAAUUAAGGUUACUUAUCCUAAGUCCUGGUUUUCUCCAUUUCUUCCCACGAGGAGUAACUUACUGAGCUAAUGUUGGAUAGUCACCUCUGAAAAGACGAGCUGUGAUGAAAUGCCUUAUCUUCAGUGUGAGGUUUUCUCUGAAGUAACCCCCUUCUGCUGUUUUAAGAAGAAAUGCGGUUACAUUAUGAUUCCCCAGGAAAUUGAGAAAGUUUACUAGCUAUUUGUUGAUUUAAAUAUACAGGCUCCUGGGCAGGAACAUCGUAAUCGCAACCACAAAGCAACAGCAGGAGCGAUGCAGACAGAGAACGGUGCCGACCGGUGCUUUUCCUGCUGUGUCCUCAGACACACAACGAAGGAGGCCACCACCAUCUCACCUGCAGUUGCUGGGACUAUUGGAUUACGGUCAUGACAGUGAGUAGCUGGGAGGUCUCAUUAGAAGAAACAAAGUGAAACACUGCAUAUUGCAGACAGCUUGUCUAACUCCCCUGUAUGAUCUGGGCUUGCAAGUAUGAGGAGGACAAAACUGACCUGUAGCCAUUUGGAGAACUAAUACACAUUCUGAAUUGUUGUGUCACUUUUUCAUCCCAUCAGACUAAUAUUCUUUAAUGAAUUACACUUCAGUGAGCCAAGUGAGGACAGUAUCAGGGUACCAUAGGAAAGGAAAAUUUAAGGAGAGGCUUGAUGGUAGAGAAAAACCUCUGUGGAUGAAUUUCUCAAGCUGUGAGGGUCAGCAUGCACCUUGAGGCAACAGCUAGGAGGGAUGCAUUGCUCAAAUAAGGAAAGCUGGUCUUAAAUAUAGAAAGCUCUUUUCUUUGGUACUGGCUUUGGUAGCUCUGUCUUCAACUUCUUGGGUAAUUUGGAUACGUCACUACUGCGAUGAACAGUAGUGAAACACAGACAUUGAUAGGCAAGAGGGAGGGGUAAAGGGGCUGAUACAGCUCAAAAAAAAAGAACAAAAAUUCCCACCUCCAGAUCUCAGGAGGAAUAAAUAGAAAAUCUUCCUCCUCCAACAGCUACUAACUUUUAAGUGAAAAUAACACUCCUUUUUCUUUGCUUAAAAUUUUACAAACCUUCAGGCUAAAGUUCUCUAUUUCAGUUUUCUUUGUCAGGCCAAAGUCUUUGAAGAGCUCCAGUACAAUGUGCUGACCUAUUUCCAGGAACAACAGUACGGAAAAGUGUCACUUUCCGUUAAAUAAAUCCUUGCAACCAGUUCACGUACAUGCUUGAGUGAAAAGGAGGAGAAGGUGGAAUGCAGAGGAUGGGUUAGCUAUUGGACUUUGACCAUUCCCUUCGCACUUUGCACUUGCUCAGUUGAAAUCUCUAGCUUUUGGCAGCUGAUGCUUCCGAGGCAUCAGUCAGCACCAAGCAUGUCCUCUUCUCCAGAGCCUGCACCUGAGGCCAGGCAUCUCACCCAAACCAAGGCAA